rnacentral:rRNA from 1 species
UACGGAGGGUGCAAGCGUUAUCCGGAUUCACUGGGUUUAAAGGGCGCGUAGGAGGGCAGGUAAGUCAGUGGUGAAAUCCCCGUGCUUAACAUGGGAACUGCCGUUGAUACUAUCUGUCUUGAAUGCCGUGGAGAUGAGCGGAAUAUGUCAUGUAGCGGUGAAAUGCUUAGAUAUGACAUAGAACACCAAUUGCGAAGGCAGCUCGUUACACGAACAUUGACUCUGAGGCUCGAAAGCGUGGGGAUCAAACAGG